UCGUAGUUGGAUCUCAGUUACAGGCAGGUGGUUCACUUUACAGUGAUACUACCUGAACUGAACCUAUUGCUGGAUCUCAUGGGUGCCCUUCACUGGGUGCCCAUUGAGAACAGACGUUUUACUUUGAGAAAAUUAGAGUGCUCAAAGCAGGCGAAUGCCUGAAUAGUUGUGCAUGGAAUAAUGAAAUAUGGCCUCGGUGUUUUUUUGUUGGUUCAUGAUGCUCGAGGUAAUGGUUGAAAGGGACUGACGGGGGCAUUCGUAUUGCGACGUUAGAGGUGAAAUUCUUAGAUCGUCGCAAGACGGACUACUGCGAAAGCAUUUGCCAAGAAUGUCUUCAUUAAUCAAGAACGAAAGUCAGAGGUUCGAAGGCGAUCAGAUACCGCCCUAGUUCUGACCUUAAACGAUGCUUACUGGCGAUCCAGGAGGGGUAUUUAAAUGACCCACUGGGCAGCUUCUGGGAAACCAAAGUUUUUGGGUUCCGGGGGAAGUAUGGUUGCAAAGCUGGAACUUAAAGGAAUUGACGGAAGGGCACCACCAGGAGUGGAGCCUGUGGCUUAAUUUGACUCAACACGGGAAACCUCACCAGGCCCAGACACUAGA
rnacentral:rRNA from 1 species